AAAGCUAGCAGAUGAACUAUCUUGUCUUUGGCAAGAAAGUAUCUCUGUUAACACCGCUAAGUAUUUGAGGAAAAAGGCUCUCGCUACGGAAUCCAGUGAGCCGGAGGCACAUACCUGCACUUCUUUGCAAACCACAGACUGUGUCGAUUGUUCUGGCAGAAGUUCCCCUCAGGAACUUAAAAAAUUAAUGAGUGUUGGAGAGGAAACCACCGAAGGGGGUCGGGAAAACCCUAAGGCCGUAAAAACUCUUGAAAUUCCAAAUGAGGUCAAUGACCUACUUUUUCAAAAUUCAAAUUUGAAUUUGAAAGAAGUAGGCCACAGUACCCCCACUUUGGAAAAUCAGGAGAGUACUGUAGAUGAAACGGAGUUUUGUAAUUCUCUGCUUAUUAGCGCUCUGGAGGAAUCACUCACCUCCAACAACACUGAGAUGGAAGGGUUAAUUAAUUUUUUAAUUAAAAAGAUGCUUAAGUCUAGUGAUAAGGCUCGUAAACACUACACCGACGGGGUUGCCAGUGUCCUUGCCCUGCUUGUGCGUCCGAACUGCGAUGGUCGUAAUCCCCCUGCCCCUACUAACUGGCGUAAGCGCGUUCCGCCGCCUGUGAGAAAUCACAGGGAACGGAAGCGCCGUAACUACGCGUUAUUCCAAUCGCUCUUCAGGCGAGACCCGAAAAGAAUUGCGUCCCAUCUUAUCAAAAACCAGCCCCUUUGCAAUGUGAGCUGUCCUAUCGACGUCGCUGAGUCCGCUCUGCGACAGCGAUUAAGUCAGCGCCCCGGUAUUGAUGCAGCGCCCUUCAAAUCGAAACGCCCUCCCAACUGUGAAAAUAUUCUGUCCCCCAUUUCAGCAGACGAGGUUACGCUGCACCUCCAACUAAUGUCUGCAAAAACGUCGGCAGGCCUCGACGGAGUUCAGGUGUCACACCUUCGACAAUGUGAUCCGGUGUGCCUUGCGAAGGCCUUUAACUGUUUUCUUCUCGCAAGGUACAUCCCCCCACAACUCAAGGAUUGUCGCACCACUCUCAUUCCCAAAACCGACAAUCCCCGCCCCGANGCAAGGUUCCAUGUGAACAGCAGUUGGACAUGGGUCAGUCGAUCCUAAGAAAACGGCGAAAGCUUUUUCGAAUUUGCGACAUGAAUUGUAAGACUGUGAAUAAUUGUGUGCGUGUGUUUGCCAAUUAUUAAUUGUUGUGCGCAGUUGUCGUAUGUUUUCGAAAGGGAAUCCGGUUGAUAUUCCGGAACCGAGUAACGGAGACAAAGAGUAGCGCUUUAAUCUCUCUCUCUCUGUGGGGUUGGCGUUCAACUCAAUCGCGCGGUAACGCAAGCGAACUCGGAAAAUGACCGUCGUGAGUUUCGAAAAGAGUUUUCUUUUCUUUUUAAGGGACGCAUUCCCUGGAACCGGGUUGUCCGGAGAUAGGGAUUUUGGUAUCCAUAAAACGCCGACUUUUUCACGGUGUUCGGAGCGCUCUCGUCGGUACGUGAAAAUCCGAGCGACGCCUGGUAAAUCUCGUACUUGGUCGUACUGAUAUCCGCAGCAGGUCUCCAAGGUGAAUAGCCUCUGGCCGAUAGAAUAAUGUAGGUAAGGGAAGUCGGCAAAACGGAUCCGUAACUUCGGAACAAGGAUUGGCUCUAAGGGCUGGGCCGAUCGGGCUGAGGUUUCAAGCGUGCAGUGUAUGCUUGGCUUAGUUGUGUUGAGGACUUGUUCACUUGCCACCGUUUGUUCGGUUGGUCGAGUGUAUUCGAGUCUGAAGCAGAGCUGGCCGUCAGACCGGCACGUGUAGAACCUGAGCUGCGCGGCUGUCCGUUUUCGUGUACAGACCGUUUCGGUCGGCAUUCAACAGCCAACUUAGAACUGGCACGGACACAAGGAAUCUGACUGUAUAAUUAAAACAAAGCAUUGCGAUGGCCGAUGAUCGGUGAUGACGCAAUGUGAUUUCUGCCCAGUGCUCUGAAUGUCAAAGUGAAGAAAUUCAAUCAAGCGCGGGUAAACGGCGGGAGUAACUAUGACUCUCUUAAGGUAGCCAAAUGCCUCGUCAUCUAAUUAGUGACGCGUAUGAAUGGAUCAACAAGAUUCCUUCUGUCCCUAUCUACUAUCUAGCGAAACCACAGCCAAGGGAACGGGCUUGGCAAAAUCAGCGGGGAAAGAAGACCCUGUUGAGCUUGACUCUAGUCUGACUCUGUGAAGAGACAUGAAAGGUGUAGCAUAGGUGGGAGAUUGUCCCCUCUCCUCUUCAACUCAGUCAUGGACGAGUUGAUAGAGCGCCUCGAACAAAGUGGAGUGGGUUAUAAAAUCAAUAACACUGAGGUCGUAACACUGGCUUUCGCGGACAACGUAAC
rnacentral:rRNA from 1 species